rnacentral:rRNA from 1 species
GACGAACGCUGGCGGCGUGCUUAACACAUGCAAGUCGAACGAGACGAUUGAAAGCUUGCUUUCGAAAGUCGAGUGGCAAACGGGUGAGUAACGCGUAGACAACCUGCCUUUGAGAUGGGGACAACAGUUCGAAAGGGCUGCUAAUACCGAAUGUUGUAUAUUUUCCACAUGGAAGAUAUAUUAACGAUGGCCUAUAUUUAUAAGCUAUCGCUCAAAGCUGGGUCUGCGUCUGAUUAGCUAGUUGGUGGGGUAACGGCCUACCAAGGCGACGUUAAGUAUCCGGGCUGAGAGGAUGAACGUGCACAGUGGGACUGAGACACGGCCCAGACUCCUACGGGAAGCAGCAGUGGGGAAUCUUCCACAAUGGACGAAAGUCUGAUGGAGCAACGCCGCGUGAGUGAAGAAGGGUUUCGGCUCGUAAAGCUCUGUUGUCGGGGACGAAUGUGCAUUACUUGAAUAAAGUAGUGUAAUGACGGUACCUGACGAGGAAGCCACGGCUAACUACGUGCCAGCAGCCGCCGUAA